rnacentral:rRNA from 1 species
AUUGAACGCUGGCGGAAUGCUUUACACAUGCAAGUCGAACGGCAGCACGGACUUCGGUCUGGUGGCGAGUGGCGAACGGGUGAGUAAUAUAUCGGAACGUACCCAGUCGUGGGGGAUAACGUAGCGAAAGCUACGCUAAUACCGCAUACGAUCUACGGAUGAAAGCGGGGGAUCGCAAGACCUCGCGCGAUUGGAGCGGCCGAUAUCAGAUUAGGUAGUUGGUGAGGUAAAGGCUCACCAAGCCGAGGAUCUGUAGCUGGUCUGAGAGGACGACCAGCCACACUGGGACUGAGACACGGCCCAGACCCCGACGGGAGGCAGCAGUGGGGAAUUUUGGACAAUGGAUGAAAGUCUGAUCCAGCCAUUCCGCGUGCAGGACGAAGGCCUUCGGGUUGUAAACUGCUUUUGUACAGAACGAAAAGGUCUCUAUUAAUACUAGGGGCUCAUGACGGUACUGUAAGAAUAAGCACCGGCUAACUACGUGCCAGCCGCCGCCGUAA